UACGUAGGGUGCGAGCGUUUAAUCGGAAUUACUGGGCGUAAAGAGUGCGUAGGCGGUUCGUUAUGUCUGUGGUGAAAGCCCUGGGCUCAACCUAGGAAUGGCCAUGGAAACUGGCGGGCUGGAGUAUGGCAGAGGGGGGUGGAAUUCCGCGUGUAGCAGUGAAAUGCGUAGAGAUGCGGAGGAACACCGAUGGCGAAGGCAGCCCCCCUGGGCUAAUACUGACGCUGAGGCACGAAAGCGUGGGGAGCAAACAGG
rnacentral:rRNA from 1 species